CCGAGUUUGGAUUGCUUUGGUUGGAGCACAAGAAAACUAAAAACAGUAUGCCGUCCAUAAAAUCGCGUCUCAAUCCCAAUCCUUCUGAUCAAGAUGACUUUUCCUGUCGCCUGUGCUCCGGAAACCACGGUCUACGCAAAUGCAAAGCAUUCCGGAAGAAAGAUGUAAAGGAACGUAUGCAACUGGUUAUCACCCAUAGCUACUGUCCAAACUGUUUAGCACAUAAACAUUCCUCCAAUGCGUGCUUCUAAACCAAAGGAUGUUAUCGUUGUGGAGGCAAUCACCACUCUUUGUUGCACAUCGAUCAACCAAAAACAAAUGCAAAGAAGACUAAGACUGUUAAACGAGAAAAUAUGACCCAUCGUUCGACAAACCAAAAUAUUAUGUCAGUUCCUCAACAGUCUGCCACCAUGGCAUCAAUUGUAGCACCGCAAUCCACUUUAUUGUUUCCAACGGCCAUUAUUCUUGUCAUUAACGGUAAUAAAAAUCAUCACGUACGAGCAGUUCUUGAUCCUUGCACAGCUAUCAGCAAAAUAUCUCGAAAAUUUUUUAAGGAGGUAGGACUACGUACCACAACUCUUGGUGAUGAAUCAAUUUGUGCAGUAUCCAUAGCCUCACGCCAAUCUCCACAGACUGCAUUCAACACCACUAUGAGGGUAAACAACCAUAUAUCGAUGGACACUCCUACCAGAUCACUAAAUGCCUUAAUGGCAACAAACUUUAAAAACAUCACCCUAGCUGACCCUCAAUUUUAUAAGUCGGGGCCGUUUUCCAUAGUUUUGGGAGCAGACUUGUAUGCUCGACUCAUUUUACCCGGAUUGUUGCCCAGUGAUGGAAAUCUUCCAGUAGCUAUGAAUACUGUAUUCGGAUGGGUCUUGUCCGGCUCCUGCAACAACUAAAUGAGAAAAUCUCCAAUAAUUACUUCUAAAUGAAUUAAACCAAAUGUAUUAAGCUAUGUUGUAUAUAUUCUAGUUUUAAGUUAAAACUGAAUUCCAGAUUAACUUUUACUCCAAAAAUUUUUUGAAUUACUAAUUGGAAUUUUUACGAAAUAGUUAUCAAGAAAUCAUAUGUAUUUUUACAAUUUUCAAAUUUUUAAAUUUUUGCAAUACUGCAACGUGGGCCGGUGAUGUUCAUGCCACACAACUCCCACCCCUACAUGCAAUGCCACAUCAUUAUCACGCUACGUAUGCUUCACGUAUACUAAUUAUCUUAACUCACUUAACUACAUAUGUCAUUACAUUAGUACUAAAAAAAAUAUUGGUAUGCAUUUUGAUAGAACAUGGUUCUACCGUUUUUCCGUUUGAACAACUCAGACAAUAAACUUGCAAACGUGGUCUUGAGCAUCUUAA